GACUCUGUAGCUCAGAUGGUUAGAGCGCUGCACCGGAAUCGCAGGGUCGCAGGUUCGACUCCUGUCAGGGACC
rnacentral:tRNA from 1 species